rnacentral:rRNA from 1 species
UUUGAUUCUAACAGAUUUAAUCAUGGGAGAUGCUUUACACAUGCAAGUCGAACGGCAGCACGGACUUCGGUCUGGUGUGGCGAGUGGCGAACGGGUGAGUAAUGUGUAUCGGGAACGUGCCUAGUAGCGGGGGAGAUCACGCGAAAGCGUAGCUAAUACCGCAUACGCCUCGGGGAAAAAGCGGGGGGUGACCUUCGGGCCUCGCACUAUUAGAGCGGCCGAUAUCGAUUAGCUGAAGGGUGGGGUAACGGCUCACCAAGGGGCGACGAUCCGUAGCUGUUCGAGGAGGACGACCAGCCACACUGGGACUGAGACACGGCCCAGACUCCUACGGAGGCAGCAGGGGAAUUUGACAAUGGGGGAACCGAUCCAGCCAAUCCCCGCGUGUGCGAUGAAGGCCUUCGGGUUAGAAGCACUUCUUGUGAAAAGAAACGGCAUGGAUGCAGUCAUUCCGUGCAACUGACGGUACCUGCAGAAUAAGCACUGGCGAAUCACGCGCCAGGCAGCCGCGUAACAUGCAGGGGUGCAAGCGUUAAUCGGAAUUACUGGGCGUAAAGAUGUGCGCAGGCGGUUCGGAAAGAAAGAUGGGAACCCAGAGCUAACUUUGGAACUGCAUUUUUAAUCACCGAGCCAGAGUGUGUCAGAGGGAGGUGAAAUUCCGCGUGUAUAUGAAAUGCGUAGAUAUGCGGAGGAACACCGAUGGCGAAGGCAGCCCUGGGAUAACACUAUCGUUUUUCGCGCAUCGAAAGCGUGGGGAGCAAAGGUAUUUAGAUACCCUUCGGGUAACCACGCCCUAAACGAUGUCAAUAGCUGCUGUGGGCCUUCGCCUUGGUGGCGCAGCUAACGCGUGAAGUUGACCGCCUGGGGAGUACGGUCGCAAGAUUAAAACUCAAAGGAAUUGGACGGGGACCCAAGCGGUGGAUGAUGUGGAUUAAUUGAUGCAACGCGAAAACCUUACCUACCCUUGGGAUAUGUCUGGAAUCCCGAAGAGAUUUGGGAGUGUCGCAAGAGAAACGGAACACAGGUGCUGCAUGGCUGUCGUCAGCUCGUGUCGUGAGAUGUUGGGUUAAGUCCUGCAACGGCGGCAACCCUUGUCAUUAGUUGCUACGAAAAGCACCUUGAUGAGACUGCUGGUGACAAAAUCCGAGGAAGGUGGGGAUGACGUCAAGUCCUCAUGGCCCUUGCGUGUAGGGCUUCACACGUCAUACAAUGGUCGGGACAGAGGGUCGCCAACCUGCGAGGGGGAGCCAACUUCAGAAACCCGAUCAGUCCGAUCGCAGUCUGCAACUCGACUGCGUGAAGUCGGAAUCGCUGAAAAUCGCGGAUCAGCAUGUCGCAGAAUAUGUUCCCCGGGUCUUCGUACACACCGCCCGUCACACUAUGGGAGUGGGUUUUACCAGAAGUAGUUAGCCUAACCGUAAGGAGGGGCGAUUACCACGGUAGAUUCAUGAUUUGGGUGAAGUCGUAUUGUGCUUUGU